UACGAAGGGGGCUAGCGUUGCUCGGAAUCACUGGGCGUCAAGGGUGCGUAGGCGGGUCUUUAAGUCAGGGGUGAAAUCCUGGAGCUCAACUCCAGAACUGCCUUUGAUACUGAAGAUCUUGAGUGCGGGAGAGGUGAGUGGAACUGCGAGUGUAGAGGUGAAAUUCGUAGAUAUUCGCAAGAACACCAGUGGCGAAGGCGGCUCACUGGCCCGAUACUGACGCUGAGGCACGAAAGCGUGGGGAGCAAACAGG
rnacentral:rRNA from 1 species